rnacentral:rRNA from 1 species
GACGAACGCUGGCGGCGUGCUUAACACAUGCAAGUCGAACGGAAAGGCCCUGCUUGCAGGGUACUCGAGUGGCGAACGGGUGAGUAACACGUGGGUGAUCUGCCCUGCACUUCGGGAUAAGCCUGGGAAACUGGGUCUAAUACCGGAUAGGAGCCAUUUUUAGUGUGAUGGUUGGAAAGUUUUUUCGGUGUAGGAUGAGCUCGCGGCCUAUCAGCUUGUUGGUGGGGUAAUGGCCUACCAAGGCGGCGACGGGUAGCCGGCCUGAGAGGGUGGACGGCCACAUUGGGACUGAGAUACGGCCCAGACUCCUACGGGAGGCAGCAGUGGGGAAUAUUGCACAAUGGGCGCAAGUCUGAUGCAGCGACGCCGCGUGGGGGAUGACGGCCUUCGGGUUGUAAACUCCUUUCGCUAGGGACGAAGCUUUUUGUGACGGUACCUAGAGAAGAAGCACCGGCUAACUACGUG